UCGGGUUGUAAAGCACUUUUGUCCGGAAAGAAAACUUCUGCAUUAAUACUGCGGGAGGAUGACGGUACCGGAAGAAUAAGCACCGGCUAACUACGUGCCAGCAGCGCGGUAAUCGUAGGGUGCGAGCGUUAAUCGGAAUUACUGGGCGUAAAGCGUGCGCAGGCGGUUCGUUAAGACAGAUGUGAAAUCCCCGGGCUUAACCUGGGAACUGCAUUUGUGACUGGCGAGCUAGAGUAUGGCAGAGGGGGGUAGAAUUCCACGUGUAGCAGUGAAAUGCGUAGAGAUGUGGAGGAAUACCGAUGGCGAAGGCAGCCCCCUGGGCCAAUACUGACGCUCAUGCACGAAAGCGUGGGGAGCAAACAGGAUUAGAUACCCUGGUAGUCCACGCCCUAAACGAUGUCAACUAGUUGUUGGGGAUUCAUUUCCUUAGUAACGUAGCUAACGCGUGAAGUUGACCGCCUGGGGAGUACGGUCGCAAGAUUAAAACUCAAAGGAAUUGACGGGGACCCGCACAAGCGGUGGAUGAAUGUGGAUUAAUUCGAUGCAACGCGAAAAACCUUACCUACCCUUGACAUGGUCGGAACCCUGCUG
rnacentral:rRNA from 1 species